CUACACUGGUCUAAUGAUAGCGGAAAAGUUUGCUUUAUGCCAGAUAAUCCUCUUUGAUAAAAGUAACUUUGCAUGAGUUUCAGCCAUAACUCUACUUAUCUUAAAUUAGCAUAUGCAGCCAGCAAAACCUCAUCCCGUGUUAACUAAAUGAGUCACUUCCUGUCCCCAAAGGCACCACUCUGUCCAUCCCAACAGUCACAUUUCUCAUAGAUGCAGGACCGAGCAAAACCUGUAAAAUGUUACUACUUCAGGUUGUUAUUCUGGCUUCGAUUUUGUCUUACGGAUGUGCCCAAAUAUAUCUGAAACAAGCUCAGUUGUCCGUUACCAGGGGAAAAGAUAAAACUGCAAGUAUAGACUGUGAGGCUUCUGGCAUUCAGAACUUCGGGAAUGCUUUUAUACACUGGUAUCGACAAAGAUCUGGAGAAGCUCCGGAGUGGAUACUCUACUUUAAGACACAAGCUGAGAAAUCAAGUUUUGACAAGAACAAGUUUAGGGUUGAGAAGACAACUGAAAAGUCCACCUGUACCCUAAGGGUAUACAGAUUAACUGACAAUGACAUGGGUACCUAUUACUGUGCCUCCUGGGAUAUCACAGUGUUAGAAAGCCAUAGAUAGGCUGUGCAAAAACCU